GUUAUCUAAAAGAAUUUUUUUUCUUUUGAUUAAAUGUGAAGAAAGGAUUUUGCAGGGCUGCUUCUCUAAGGAUACUAUCCAGGCUACUUCAUGAAGGUGCUACCCUGGGGAAGGUCAUGAUUCCCACACAUUGAUUCGAAGCCCUUUUAUCCAAAGCCUGGGUAUUCAGGACAUCAGCAGAUGAUACUGUAAUGCAUGCAGUCAGCCAAGGCAGACAGUCUGUUUUGAUAUACAGAGAACAGCACCAUGGAGUAGAAGAAAAG